GACGAACGCUGGCGGCGUGCUUAACACAUGCAAGUCGAACGGAAAGGCCCUGCUUUUGUGGGGUGCUCGAGUGGCGAACGGGUGAGUAACACGUGAGUAACCUGCCCUUGACUUUGGGAUAACUUCAGGAAACUGGGGCUAAUACCGGAUAGGAGCUCCUGCUGCAUGGUGGGGUUGGAAAGUUUCGGCGGUUGGGGAUGGGCUCGCGGCUUAUCAGCUUGUUGGUGGGGUAGUGGCUUACCAAGGCUUUGACGGGUAGCCGGCCUGAGAGGGUGACCGGCCACAUUGGGACUGAGAUACGGCCCAGACUCCUACGGGAGGCAGCAGUGGGGAAUAUUGCACAAUGGGCGGAAGCCUGAUGCAGCAACGCCGCGUGCGGGAUGACGGCCUUCGGGUUGUAAACCGCUUUCGCCUGUGACGAAGCGUGAGUGACGGUAAUGGGUAAAGAAGCACCGGCUAACUACGUG
rnacentral:rRNA from 1 species